rnacentral:rRNA from 1 species
UAGGGAAUAUUGCAAAAUGGGCGAAAGCCCGAUGCAGCAACGCCGCGUGGGCGAUGAAGGCCUUCGGGUCGUAAAGCCCUUUUUGAGGGGAUGAGGAAGGACAGUACCCUCAGAAUAAGCCUCGGCUAACUACGUGCCAGCAGCCGCGGUAAAACGUAGGAGGCGAGCGUUAUCCGGAUUUACUGGGCGUAAAGCGCGUGCAGGCGGAUUGGAGAGUUGGAUGUGAAAGCUCCCGGCUUAACUGGGAGAGGUCGUUCAAUACUCCCAGUCUUGAGUGCAGUAGAGGGAAGUGGAAUUCCGGGUGUAGUGGUGAAAUGCGUAGAUAUCCGGAGGAACACCAGUGGCGAAAGCGGCUUCCUGGACUGUAACUGACGCUCAGACGCGAAAGCUAGGGUAGCAAACG